GAGGCCAAACCUCGUCAGCACACUCUACGUUUGCUGCAAGACAUAGAUUGAUUCAAUAUAGUUGCGAGUCAAUUUAAUAACCCUUUCAGUAGUUGGAA
rnacentral:sRNA from 22 species